GGUCCGGUGGUGUAGUGGUUAUCACAUCGUUCUUAUAGUGGAAGCUUGCCCUGUUUGUGUCAUCAUCGGGGUUUCCGUCUAUGGCUAGAAAUGCGAAUGUCCUGGGUUCAAGCCCCAGUCGGACCA